GACGAACGCUGGCGGCGUACUUAACACAUGCAAGUCGAACGGUAAGGCCCUUCGGGGUACACGAGUGGCGAACGGGUGAGUAACACGUGGGUGAUCUGCCCUGCACUUCGGGAUAAGCCUGGGAAACUGGGUCUAAUACCGGUUAGGACCACUGCCUGCAUGGGUGGUGGUGGAAAGCUUUUGCGGUGUGGGAUGGGCCCGCGGCCUAUCAGCUUGUUGGUGGGGUGAUGGCCUACCAAGGCGACGACGGGUGGCCGGCCUGAGAGGGUGACCGGCCACACUGGGACUGAGAUACGGCCCAGACUCCUACGGGAGGCAGCAGUGGGGAAUAUUGCACAAUGGGCGCAAGCCUGAUGCAGCGACGCCGCGUGAGGGAUGACGGCCUUCGGGUUGUAAACCUCUUUCAGCACCGACGAAGCGCAAGUGACGGUAGGUGCAGAAGAAGGACCGGCCAACUACGUGCCAGCCGCCGCCGUAA
rnacentral:rRNA from 1 species